GAGAACAUGGCGAAUAUAUAACGAAAGAGUAGAUAUUGUAAGUUAUGUUUGCCACCUCGAUGUCGACUCAACAUUUCCUCUUGGUUGUAAAAGCUAAGAAGGGUUUGACUGUUCGUCAAUUAAAAUGUUACGUGAGUUGGGUUAAAUACGAUGUGAAUCAGUAU
rnacentral:rRNA from 1 species